rnacentral:rRNA from 1 species
UACGUAGGGGGCUAGCGUUGUCCGGAUUUAUUGGGCGUAAAGAGCGUGUAGGCGGCCAGGUAGGUCUGCUGUGAAAACUCGAGGCUCAACCUCGAGACGUCGGCGGAAACCAUCUGGCUAGAGUCCGGAAGAGGAGAGUGGAAUUCCUGGUGUAGCGGUGAAAUGCGCAGAUAUCAGGAAGAACACCCGUGGCGGAAGGCGGCUCUCUGGGACGGUACUGACGCUGAGACGCGAAAGCGUGGGGAGCAAACAGG